CUAACAUGAGUGCGAGUCAGCGGGUGUCCAAAGCCUGAAAGGCACAAGGAAGCUAAGUGGCAAGAUCAUCCCACCAUGGGGGUCUUGCACUGCCGACCGACCUUGAUCUUCUGUGAAGGGUUAGAGUGGGAGCAUGCCUAUUGGGACCCGAAAGAUGUUGAACUAUCCCUGAGCAGGGCGAGGUCAAAGGAAACUCUGGUGGAGACCCGUAGCGAUACUGACAUGCAAAUCAUUCAUCUGACUUGGGAAUAGGGGUGAAAGACUAAUCGAACCGUCUAGUAGCUGG
rnacentral:ncRNA from 1 species